GGAUGUGAAGGCAAUGUGGCUGAGAAAUCUAGUGCCCCAGUGAUUAUCAGGGUUGAUUAGAACAAUCUGACUGGCUAGGUGAGGUCCCCUUCCUCCCUCAGUGUUCCAUGUCAUCUCUCUGAAUCUGCAUGCUCAGUCGAGGAGGAUGAACUUCCCUCUAAGAAGAAGGACCGUUCUUCGGUUGGGGAUAUAGAAGUAGCUGCGGUCCUCUGCUAGAACCUCCAAACAAGCAUUUUCAAGUUUAGAUUCAUGCAGAAUCAGAAUACUGCUUGGUUUAGCUACGGAGGUGUUAUAGGCUUUCCUCU
rnacentral:snRNA from 1 species